CCUCUUCGACUUGUUGGGGACAGAUAUAAUGUACAUGUGCGUCGAUGGCGCCGGCAGUGAGGAUGAGUUUUUCGCCUGCGAUGACUUCGGUGGAGGAGCCGAUGACGAGGGAUGGGUAGACGUUGGCCAUGACGUCUGGGUUGCCGGCUUUUCCGAUACCAGCGAUACGGCCGUCUUUGACACCGACAUCCGCCUGUCGUCAAAAAGGGCUUGUGAAUGGAAAGGAGGAGGAAGAAAGAAACAGGUGAUUCAACCUUGUAGAUACCGGACCAAUCCACGAUCAAAGCGUUCGUGAUAACCAAGUCGAGAGCUUCAGAAGAAGAUCGAUUCGUAGCUUGGCCCAUGCCUUCGCGGAUG
rnacentral:sRNA from 1 species